GCAUUUAAAUGGCUUCUCGCCUGUGUGGGUGCGCAGGUGCUCUUUCAGGUGGGUCUUUCGUGAGAAGCUCUGAGGGCAUGAAGGGCAUUGAAAUGGCUUCUCACCCGUGUGGGUGCGCAGGUGCUCUUUCAGGUGGGUCUUUCGUGAGAAGCUCCGAAGGCAUGAAGGGCACUGAAACGGCUUCUCGCCUGUGUGGGUGCGCAGGUGUUUAUUAAGAUUUCCUUUUAGUGAGAAGCUCUGAGAGCAUGAAGGGCACUGAUAUGGCUUCUCUCCUGUGUGGGUGCGGAGGUGCUCCGUCAGGUGGGUCUUUUGCGAGAA